rnacentral:rRNA from 1 species
CCUACGGGAGGCAGCAGUAGGGAAUUUUCGUCAAUGGGCGCAAGCCUGAACGAGCGAUGCCGCGUGAGUGAAGAAGGCCUUCGGGUCGUAAAGCCCUGUUGCGGGGGAAAAAAGGCAGCAUCAGGUAAUGGGUGCUGACUGAUGGUGCCCCGCCAGAAAGUCACGGCUAACUACGUGCCAGCAGCCGCGGUAAUACGUAGGUGGCGAGCGUUAUCCGGAAUGAUUGGGCGUAAAGGGUGCGCAGGCGGUCCUGCAAGUCUGGAGUGAAAAGCAUGAGCUCAACUCAUGCAUGGCUGUGGAAACUGGAGGACUGGAGAGCAGGAGAGGGAGGUGGAACUCCAGGUGUAGCGGUAAAAUGCGUAGAUAUAUGGAAGAACACCAGUGGCGAAGGCGGCCGCCUGGCGUGUUGCUGACGCUGAGGCACGAAAGCGUGGGGAGCGAAUAGGAUUAGAUACCCCGGUAGUC